rfam:Camelus ferus unplaced genomic scaffold scaffold850, whole genome shotgun sequence.
GAGGAUAUAGCUCAGUUGUAGAGUACCUGCUUAGCAUGCAUGAGGUCCUGGGUUCAAUCCCCAGUACCUCCA